rnacentral:rRNA from 1 species
UACGUAGGUGACAAGCGUUGUCCGGAUUUACUGGGCGUAAAGAGCGCGUAGGCGGUCGAUCAAGUCGAGUGUGAAAGCCCCCGGCUCAACUGGGGAGGGUCAUUCGAAACUGAUCGACUUGAAGGCAGGAGAGGGUGGUGGAAUUCCCGGUGUAGUGGUGAAAUGCGUAGAUAUCGGGAGGAACACCGGUGGCGAAGGCGGCUGCCUGGCCUGUUCUUGACGCUGAGGCGCGAAAGCUAGGGGAGCAAACGGG